AGGGGUGUCGCCAAGCGGUAAGGCAACGGAUUUUGAUUCCGUCAUUCGCAGGUUCGAGUCCUGCCACCUCUGCCA
rnacentral:tRNA from 1 species